rnacentral:rRNA from 1 species
GUCGAACGAAGAGUCGGAGUAGGAAUACCUGAGUACUCUUAGUGGUGAACGGGUGAGUAACGCGUAGGUGACCUGGCCCAGAGAUAGGGAUAACAGUUCGAAAGGACUGCUAAUACCUUGUGUAGUCAUUUUGAUUAGAUGCUAAAUGAGUAAAGGAGCUUGCUCCGCUUUGGGAGGGGCCUGCGUCCCAUCAGCUAGUUGGUAAGGUAAUGGCCUACCAAUGCGAUGACGGGUAUGGGACCUGAGAUGGUGGCCCCCCACAAUGGAACUGAAACACGGUCCAUACACCUACGGGUGGCAGCAGUAGGGAAUAUUGGUAAUGUGCGAAAGCGCGAACCAGCAACGCCGCGUGUGCGAAGACGGCCUUCGGGUUGUAAAGCACUUUUCGGGAGGAAGAGGAAGGACUGUACUCCCGGAAUAAGUCUCGGCUAACUACGUGCCAGCAGCCGCGGUAAUACGUAGGAGUGCAAACGUUAUCCGGAUUUACUGGGCGUAAAGCGCGUGCAGGCUGUUCAAUAAGUUGGGCGUGAAAGCUCCCGGCUCAACUGGGAGAGGUCGUUCAAUACUGUUGGACUAGAGGAUGGUAGAGGAAGGUGGAAUUCCGGGUGUAGUGGUGAAAUGCGCAGAUAUCCGGAGGAACACCAGUGGCGAAAGCGGUCUUCUGGACCAUUCCUGACGCUCAGACGCGAAAGCUAUGGUAGCAAACGGGAUUAGAGACCCCGGUAG